GGGACGUUAGCUCAGUUGGUAGAGCAGCGGACUUUUAAUCCGUUGGUCACAAGUUCGAAUCUUGUACGUCCUA
rfam:Acidovorax sp. JS42, complete genome.